CAAGAGUCUGGUCUCAGGAAGAACUAACCACGGGGAGUUAUGGUUCAGGAGAGCACUAUCCUAUGGGGGAUGGGGUAGAAGCAACUACUUCAGAAAUGGAGAAAUUUGGUAAUGACAGAAAGACAAGAAAUGGGAAAUUCUACAACAAAAAAAGCACAAUAUACUAAAAGCUGAGGAACGCUGGCACUCCCAGCCUCCUUUUGCUUCUAGCCCAAAACUUACUUGAAGCACCAGAUCUGUGACAACAGGCAAUAUUCAAGAGUCUGCCAUUUUUCCCACCUGGUACCUCAGUAAUGCUUGCUGAUGAGCAAAGCCUUUUCUCUCCACCCUUAUUCUUUCUGCUGUAAUUUCACUUUUACGUAUCUCCUAGCUAUAACUCUACCUCCCUGCCAUGGCAAGAAGGUGCCCUUAUGUGUCAUACAUAGUAAGAAACCACAACCCUAAUCCUCUGCUUAGCGAUUUUACAGCUUAGUGUGUGAAAACCUCAACUAACCAGGAUGGAGAAAGCCAGAUUUCGCCCUGAGCUAUCUCCUGAAGCACAAUGCUGGGGAAGGCUGAGCCCUCAGCCCGACCGUCCUCGUCAGGUUUUGCAGCAUCCCAGAAGUUCCCUUAAGGCUAUUCUGCUCACUCACUGCAUUGCCUUCCUGGAUGCUUUUAUUUUUUGCUGACAGCUGCCUGCAAUUCACAUGAGCUGUUGUAUUAAUAAAUAGGCCUUGCCCUACACCAAUCAGA